rnacentral:rRNA from 1 species
AUUGAACGCUGGCGGCAGGCCUAACACAUGCAAGUCGAACGAGAGGCGGACGGGUGAGUAAUGUCUGGGAAACUGCCCGAUGGAGGGGGGUAACUACUGGAAACGGUAGCAAAUACCGCAUACCAUCAGAUGUGCCACGAUGGGGUUAGCUUGUAGGUGGGGUAACGGCUCACCUAGGCGACGAUCCCUAGCUGGUCUGAGAGGAUGCCCAGCCACACUGGAACUGAGACACGGGCCAGACUCCUACGGUAGGCAGCAGUGGGGAAUAUUGCACAAUGGGCGCAAGCCUGAUGCAGCCAUGCCGCGUGUAUGAAGAAGGCCUUAGGGUUGUAAAGUACUUUCAGCGAGGAGGCGUUACUCACAGAAGAAGCACCGGCUAACUCCGUGCCAGCAGCCGCGGUAAUUC